AUUAAAAGGUCACUUUAGUUUUUACUUUCCAUUGCAUCUCUAUGUUUUCUUUACGAUUCUUUGCUCACAAUUCUCUGUUUUUUGCAGCUAUCUACGGCAUUCUCAUCUUCUUGUCUUAUGGUAGAAAAAUGGGAUUACGAGGGAAGAGAGAAACUCACACUAAAGACAUGAAAUUGAAUGGAGCAAGUACUUUUCAGCCAGUGACCUAAGUACUCGGUGUAGUAAAGUCCUAAGAUUGAAUGAGCUAGUUACCUAGCUACCAAAUAAAUCAAGUGACACCAAAAAAUCAACCAAGCCGAGAGUUCAUAAUGAGAGGAGCCAAGGAUAAUUAUA
rnacentral:lncRNA from 1 species